UACAGAGGGUGCGAGCGUUGCUCGGAAUCACUGGGCGUAAAGCGUGCGCAGGCGGCCUGGCAAGUCAGACGUGAAAGUCCGGGGCUCAACCCCGGGAGGUCGUUUGAAACUACCGGGCUUGAGUACGGGAGAGGGGUGUGGAAUUCCCAGUGUAGGAGUGAAAUCCGUAGAUAUUGGGAGGAACACCAGUGGCGAAGGCGACACCCUGGCCCGAGACUGACGCUCAGGCACGAAAGCGUGGGGAGCAAACAGG
rnacentral:misc_RNA from 1 species